rnacentral:rRNA from 1 species
UACGUAGGUGGCAAGCGUUGUCCGGAAUUAUUGGGCGUAAAGCGCGCGCAGGCGGUUCCUUAAGUCUGAUGUGAAAGUCCACGGCUCAACCGUGGAGGGUCAUUGGAAACUGGGGGACUUGAGUGCAGAAGAGGAGAGCGGAAUUCCACGUGUAGCGGUGAAAUGCGUAGAGAUGUGGAGGAACACCAGUGGCGAAGGCGGCUCUCUGGUCUGUAACUGACGCUGAGGCGCGAAAGCGUGGGGAGCAAACAGG